CAGCUUCUUUCAUCAAAUGAGUAUUGCCCUUUACAGCAGUAAUAACCGCUACCAAAUACAUUGCAGUCGUCAUGGGAAUAACAACCGUUUUUGUUAAAACAUUUCUUUUCGGGUAGUUUAGGGCACUUUUUAUCAUAAGCCCCGUUUACACGACAAGCGUUUUGGGUACGGCACUCUUAAAUUUAGGCACGCGGACCAUUGCUUAUAAAACGGCCCGCUUGGUUUACACGACAAAUUUCAAGCGGACUUGUUUUAGCAACAGG